UACGGAGGGUGCAAGCGUUAUCCGGAUUCACUGGGUUUAAAGGGUGCGUAGGCGGCGCGGUAAGUCGGGGUGUGAAAUUUCGAGGCUUAACUUCGAAACUGCAUUCGAUACUGCCGUGCUUGAGGACUGGAGAGGAGACUGGAAUUUACGGUGUAGCGGUGAAAUGCGUAGAUAUCGUAAGGAAGACCAGUGGCGAAGGCGGGUCUCUGGACAGUUCCUGACGCUGAGGCACGAAGGCCAGGGGAGCAAACGGG
rnacentral:rRNA from 1 species